AUAUAUUAUACAUACAUAUGCUAAAACUGGAACGAUACAGAGAAUAUUAGUAUGGCCCUGCGCAAGGAUGACAGGCAAAUUAGGGAAGUGUUCCAUAUUUUU
rnacentral:snRNA from 1 species